CCGAAUCGCCCCGUUUUUUGAAAUGGGUUCUAUUCCCAAACCGUGUAUACAUACCUUUGUUGCUUUGGCAGGCCGCCUCUUCGGCGUCGGCUUCGGCUGACUGCGCCUGCCAGAGGACCCAAACUCGUUUGUCUAGUGAUGUCUGAGUACUAUAUAAUAGUUA
rnacentral:misc_RNA from 1 species